ACGUAGGGGCGAGCGUUGUCCGGAAUUACUGGGCGUAAAGGGCGUGUAGGCGGUCAUUUAAGUCAGAGGUGAAAACUACCGGCUUAACCGGUAGCCUGCCUUUGAAACUGGAUGACUUGAGGGCAGGAGAGGGGAGUGGAAUUCCCAGUGUAGCGGUGAAAUGCGUAGAUAUUGGGAGGAACACCAGUGGCGAAGGCGGCUCUCUGGCCUGUAACUGACGCUGAGGCACGAAAGCGUGGGGAGCAAACAGGAUUAGAUACCCGUGUAGUCCCUGAGCGGG
rnacentral:rRNA from 1 species